rnacentral:rRNA from 1 species
GACGAACGCUGGCGGCGUGCUUAACACAUGCAAGUCGAACGAAGUGGCGAACGGGUGAGUAACGCGUAAUCAACCUGCCCUUCAGAGGGGGACAACAGUUGGAAACGACUGCUAAUACCCCAUACUGAAGGAGGGGAUUGCGUCUGAUUAGAUAGUUGGAGGGGAAACGGCCAACCAAGGCGAUGAUCAGUAGCCGGUCUGGGGGGGUGAACGGCCACAAUGGGACUGAGACACGGCCCAGACUCCUACGGGAGGCAGCAGUGGGGAAUCUUCCGCAAUGGACGAAAGUCUGACGGAGCAACGCCGCGUGAGUGAUGACGGCCUUCGGGUUGUAAAGCUCUGUUAAUCGGGACGCGGUACCGGAAUAGAAAGCCACGGCUAACUACGUGCCAGCAGCCGCGGUAAUUC